CGCGUGGCUGCUCAGCCAGUACUGCUCACGCCAGCACAACAGUGAUCAGCCAACACUUAUCCUCAACUCCAACUCGUUCAGCCGGUUCUUCAUCCGUCGUCCACAGGCUUCAGACGUAGCUCGCCAGCUUCGACCUCCGCCCUGCCCUUGACCCCACUCGCCCGUUCUUGUUCCCGACGCUCGAGCUCACCUCAGCUUCGCUGUGCCCCUGCGUUCGGCCUCUUCCCUCCACCAGCGGACGUCCUCGGUCUCGCUUUCCUCGCCGUGGCAAGGCCCCGGCCACGACGUCAUCCCCCUGUGAGCCUCAUUGCUGUGUCGCUUGCCUGCACCCUCUUUGUUCGAUGAAAUGGUCAAGUCGAUAACUAUUGCUGUUGCUCACAGCUAAGCUAGCUGUUGAAGUCGUGCCUCGCAUACGCCUAUUCGAUGAAAUGCCCAAACGUCACGUCCGCUCCUUGUCCCAACACCCUGUCACAAUUCCGUGCGUUGCCGGUGAGACAUCGAUUUUCUUCUAUUCAAUUAGUUCUUUGCUUGGUGUCAAUGAUUAACUGUGGUUUAUGUUUGUGUACUAGUGUGUGUUUCGGAAGAGAGGAAUCCCAUAUAUGUGAGGACAGGCAAUCCGUGCAAUAGUUGUUUGAUGUUUGGUGUUAUGCGCAAAUCAGAAAUCGUCAUCAUUAUCCCAAAUAUCGAUUUGGUUUGUGAUAUGGUGAGCCCUCUCGCUACCUUGGCUAGUUAAUUUGAUCGAUGAAUUGAUUACAGUUGCCAACGAUGAUUCUUCUUGUUUUUAGCGCAAGCAUAUUGUGUGUUAUCUUUUAGACCCAUUGUUGCACUUAUAUGCGAUGUUACAUGGUGAUUGAGUUAAUUGUUCUUGUGCUCACAAACAAAAAUUUCCUAUGUGUACAGUUUUAAUUGUGCAACUAAUCUAGUAAAGCAAACUACGUUUUCUGUAAAGAUGUUUUAUAUAAAAUUAGUAGGUAACCUCCCCAUCUUUCUUGUGUUAAAUUUUCAUGACCAUAGGUUUAAUAGUUUAAGAGUUAUGAUUUUCCCAAGUCCAGUUUCAGAAUCUGUCCAGAUUCUGUACUGAUUUCGAAAAUUGCUUUGUUUGACUAAAUUAAACUUAGAAUCAGACCUUAGUAAUUACAGAAGAAUUGUAGUACUUUUCUUAAGUUUUCCAACAAAUUUUGGAAUACCCUUUUUGGUGGUCUAGAGACCAAGUUACAGCUAUUUGAACUAUAGAGUCUGAAUCUGUCCAAAUCUGGACAGCAAUGCUUGUUUGUAUGAACUGACUUUGAUACACAUUGAAUCACCCUGAGAUGUUUAUAAAUGAAUUGUCGACAAUUCUAUCAGAUUUCUAAAAAGUCUAGGAUCACCUGAUUUGGAUUUUUAAAACUUCAGUUAUGAAUUUUUGAAGUAAGUGGUCGAAUUCUGUCCAAAUCUGGACAGAAUUAAAGUUUAGCACUGUUUGACCUUUUAAACUGUCGAAUCAGGUUAUGAUGAUAAUAUAAGAGUUAUAGAGGACUUUCUAAGCUUUCCAGAAAGUCCUAGUUUACUAUUUUUGGAUGCAUAUUUUGUGAGUUAUGAAUAAAACAAUUAAUCGCUGUGCUGCUGUCUAAAAAUUCUGCAAGUAUUAAAUUGUUGGCUUGAAGUUACUAUUGUUUGGCUAAGUAAGUUUAGCUGAUUCUUAAUUGGUGAAGUGAUGCUUUGUUUUAGUAAUUAUCAUGUUCUAUGGUUGUUGAUUGAGUAAAUAUGAUAAAUGGAGAUUGGUCGCUUAAGUUAAUCAUCUUGAAUAAAUGUUCCUCACUAUUCUUAUUAGUUGGAAGUAAAUAGCAUCAAUACGUUUAUUCUAGUUGUAAUCCGAGAGCUAUAUAGUGGGAAGUGCAUUUAGGCGCUUAAAGUCUUUUGCUUCUAGGUUAUAAUCAAAUGAGAUUAUGUAAUAUUUGAUGAUGCUCCACUUGCUAGGACAAAUAGUGUGAUGUGUUAUUUAGCUCGUGCGCUAUGCUAGUUAAUCCGAUGAAAUGGUUUAAAAAGUUAGUUAAAGUAUUUCUAUUCAAAUUCGAAGCCGUAGAUGUCUAAGGCUAAUAAGUUUAAAUUAUGGUAAUCGUUUGGUGUAUGUUCUAGUUAAAGAAGAUCCAUACAUGGUUCACGAUUGUUUGGUGUUUAAGUUAGGUUCGAUUGAUUAGAAGAUCAUGCUUGUUGUGUUAGAGUUAAGGUAUCUAGUGAUUAUUUAUGCUUGCUUAUAAUGUUUUGCUAGAGAAUGUUUAAUCCUAUACCAUAUAACUUCAUAUAAUAUUGUACUAGUUCUUAUGUUCAUACAUGUGCAACCUACAUCCAAAUAGGUACACUAGCUGAAAAAUCGUGCGAAGCGAAGGGUGUGGAUCAAAACAACCCACAAGACGAUGUCGGCCGAUGAGCCCGAAGAUGGAUGGACUAAGCAGAUGUCAGAACAAAAGUUGAUCGUCAACUGGCCUUCAUUUAACAACACUAACGUAGUGUUAUCCCAGGUAAGCCCCGGUGCAUUUGCCACCUCCUUGUUGUUUUUAAAACUUUUAUCACUUAUGUGACAGAAUCUCCCAAGUAAUUAGGCCCACCUACAGUUGUCCUUGUCCAACAGACAUCAGACAACCCUGUAGAUGUUCCUGAAUCACUCGACAAGUUCGGUAUCUUCUUUCUUACCUUUCCAGGAACGUUUUACCCGUCUUGCAGACAUUACAGAACAUCGGAGAUAUAGAAAUGCGGAAGCGAUUACAUAAACUUACAUUUAUUUAGAAAGUAAGAUCAAGUUACUUAUUACAGAUAUGAAACGAGUGCUGAAUAGUAUUAUUACAAUACCAAGGGAGGCAAAAACUCCUCCCGAUAGUUUUUAUAAAGUCCUAAUGGAGGAUCCUUUCCUCCCGCACUUCAUUCCUUGCGUUCUUCCUUUGGUUAUGACUCAACCUGAUAAUUCUCUGAUCAGUGUUGAGAGUUGCUUUGUGUCUGGCUAACCAAUUCAUGCCCAAAAUAACAUCUAUAUCUUGGCCUUUCAGAACGAUCAUAUUAGUAGGAAAGUCCCGUCCGGCCAAAGUUACGGGCACUUGAUAGGCCACUUCUCUAGUAAAUAUUUGUCCCCCUGGUGAGUGAAUUUUAAACCCCUCUUUUGAUUCAUGGCAUGAGAUGCAAUGUUGCUCCACAAAUUUCUUGCUGAUGAAUGUAUGCGAAGCACCAGAAUCAAAGAGAAUAACUGCGGGAUGAUUGGCCACAAGAAACGUACCCAUCAUUACCGGCUCACCGUCCGGCGUAGUGGCCACUUGCGUAUAAUAUAUGUGUCCCGUCUUCUUAGUAUUUUUGCCCACAGUAUUUCCCUUGGCUUGAGAUGAAUUUCCAGAUCCUUGCUAAUUAUUUGACUGGUUCUGCUUUGGAUAAGGGCAAUCCUUGAUAAAAUGCCCAGACUUCCACAAUUGAAACAUCCAGUUGAUGAGCUGGGCAAAGCAGAGAAUCGAGUGCCUGGGGCACCCGGCUGACUUGAUGCAGUAGGGGCAUUAUUGGGACGAAUAAAGAUUGGCCGCUUAAAAGGGAAGGAGGGUGGACGAGAGAAAGAACAAUUCUGGUUGGAGGCCGGAUGACAACCCGUUGCUUCUUCACCGGGCCCUGACUAGGCCUGUCACCUCCAAAACCCUUGGAUUUUCCAGCACCUGCAUACUUUGCUUCUACUGCUAGUGCUGUACUGACAGCUCUUCCAUAAGUAAGAUCUAUGCAGGUUGCCAUCUUUCUUUGCAGUCGGUCAUUUAACCCUCUCAUAAAGCAAUUCUUCUUCUUCUUCAAAUCAAUGUUCACUUGAUCGAUUGCAUAUUGUGACAAAUGAUUGAAUUUAUUGAGAUACUGAUUAACAGUAUCCCCUCCUUGUUUCAGCUUCAUAAAUUCUUCUUGCUUCAUGUGAAGAACACCUUCUGGUAUGUAAUGUUCGCGGAAGGCCACCUUGAAUUCUUCCCAAGUUAUCUGAUGAUUGGCCGGUUGAACGGCCACAAAAUUACCCCACCAAGUGUUGGCAGGUCCGCGCAGUUGCUGGGCUGCGAAUAAAGGCUUCUGGGUUUCUGAACAUCGCAGCAGUCCGAACUUUUGCUCGAUCACACGAAGCCAUUCAUCUGCUUCUAACGGGUCUUCGGCUUUGACAAACAGCGGGAGUCGCGUCUCUGAGAAGUCCAUGUAAGAGGUUUCACGGGGGCCCUGUUGAUAACCCCGCCCGCCUUGUUGUGGAAACUGUUGACUCGCCAUCUCUCUCAGAAAACGGGUAUUAUCCGCGGUUGCAUUUACCAAGGCGGCAAUCGCCUCGGCCAGUGUGGGAGGAAUAUGAGGUGGAUUUGGGGUAGACUCCCUCCCACUGGAAGUUCCAGCUGUAUCCUGUGAUCGGGUCUUGGACGACAUCUGUGGCAACAACAUUGGGAAACAAUAUGAUAUGCCAAAGAAAAACCAUCCAUUUUACAUUACCAAAAGUAUUGUACAGACUCGGAUUUUUACAACAGGAUACAUUACCUAUUAUACAAAUACACUACCUAUUAUACAAUAGUACAACCUGUUAUACAAUACACUACUUCUAUUUCAACUACUACACCACUAUUCCUGCUUUCCGUUGCUUUUGGCAGCCUCGUCGUCGGGUGUGGGAGACCAUUCGUCGACCAACCUCAUAGAUGGAGGUGGCUGAAAAAGGUCUAACUCACCACCAAGCGUGUGUCCCGCAACAUGCGAGGGUCCGGCUUCCGACUCAACAC
rnacentral:lncRNA from 1 species